UCAGCGCUCGCUGGCAACACUUUCGAAUUGACGGGGAACCCCUAAGAGCCCUUCACACCAAACCAGCGCGGGAAACCCGCUGGCGGCCCGUGGGAAACUACGGGGUACGGUAACAGAGGAAGGGAUGACUCGAGGCCGCGAGGCCCCGAUGAAAUGGGUGAUCCGCAGCGAAGCCCCUGCCGUUGACGGUAGCACCUUCCAGGUCUCAAGGCCUGGGUGCAGCCGAACGUGGGGAACGUUCACAGACUAAGUGGAAGUGGGUGGAGCCGUUGCUCUGCUUAAGAUAUAGUCGGGCCCCGCUGGAAACAGCGGGGGGAUAUUGGAGGGGUCAAACUGAUCGCUCCUGCCAGAAACCGUUCCGUAGGUGAACCUGCGGAAGGAUCAUUACACGAAGAGGCCUCCAUCGGUCUUUCAACCUUGCCUAUCGUACCCUUUUUUUGUUCCCUCGGCGGGGGUAAAAGCCCGCCGGCGGGAAGCUCAAAAAACCCUUUGCAAAUCAGCAUCUAAAACUCUGAUUAACAAACCUAAAUCGUUACAACUUUCAACAAUGGAUCUCUUGGUUCUGGCAUCGAUGAAGAACGCAGCGAAAUGCGAUAAGUAGUGUGAAUUGCAGAAUUCAGUGAAUCAUCGAAUCUUUGAACGCACAUUGCGCCCCUUGGUAUUCCAUGGGGCAUGCCUGUUCGAGCGUCAUUUACACCCUCAAGCUCUGCUUGGUGUUGGGCGUCUGUCCCGCGAAGGCGCGGACUCGCCCCAAAGGCAUUGGCAGCAGUCCCUGCCGGGAUUCCCCAACAGCGCAGCACUGUUCGCGCACCCGGGGGCCCGGCGCGGGGUCCAGCGUCCACGAAGCCCGAUUGCAUCGCAACCUUGACCUCGGAUCAGGUAGGGAUACCCGCUGAACUUAAGCAUAUCAAUAAGCGGAGGAAAAGAAACCAACUGGGAUUGCCCUAGUAACGGCGAGUGAAGCGGCAACAGCUCAAAUUUGAAAUCUGGCCCUCUCCGGGGGUCCGAGUUGUAAUUUGCAGAGGGUGCUUUGGCUUUGGUUGCGGUCUAAGUUCCUUGGAACAGGACAUCACAGAGGGUGAGAAUCCCGUACGUGGUCGCGUACCAUCGCCGUGUAAAGCCCCUUCGACGAGUCGAGUUGUUUGGGAAUGCAGCUCUAAAUGGGAGGUAAAUUUCUUCUAAAGCUAAAUACUGGCCAGAGACCGAUAGCGCACAAGUAGAGUGAUCGAAAGAUGAAAAGCACUUUGGAAAGAGAGUCAAACAGCACGUGAAAUUGUUGAAAGGGAAGCGCUUGCAGCCAGACUUGCCCGCAGUUGCUCACCCAGGCUCUUGCCUGGGGCACUCUUCUGCGGGCAGGCCAGCAUCAGUUUGGGCGGCUGGAUAAAGGCCUCUGUCACG
rnacentral:rRNA from 1 species